UACAGAGGGUGCGAGCGUUGUUCGGAAUUAUUGGGCGUAAAGGGCGCGUAGGCGGCGCGGUAUGUCACCUGUGAAAUCUCCUGGCUCAACUGGGAGCUUGCAGGCGAAACUGCCGUGCUGGAGUGUGGGAGAGGUGCGUGGAAUUCCCGGUGUAGCGGUGAAAUGCGUAGAUAUCGCCUGGAACGCCGAAGGUGAAAACAGUCUGCUGGGGGCGUACCGACGCUGAGACACGAAAGCCAGGGGAGCGAACGGG
rnacentral:rRNA from 1 species